rnacentral:rRNA from 1 species
GGGAGGUAGUGACAAUAAAUAACAAUACGGGGUUCUUUCGGAUUUCGUAAUUGGAAUGAGUACAAUUUAAAUCUCUUAACGAGGAACAAUUGGAGGGCAAGUCUGGUGCCAGCAGCCGCGGUAAUUCCAGCUCCAAUAGCGUAUAUUAAAGUUGUUGCAGUUAAAAAGCUCGUAGUUGAAUUUCGGGAUCAAUUUAUCGGUCGUGCCUACGGUAUGAACUGGUACAAUUGGUUUCUCCCUUCUGACGAAGCAUGAUGCCAUUAAUUUGGUGUCGUGGGGAAUCAGGACUGUUACUUUGAAAAAAAUUAGAGUGUUUAAAGCAAGCAUUAGCUUGAAUACAUUAGCAUGGAAUAAUGAAAUAGGACGUUUGAUCCUAUUUCGUUGGUUUCUAGGAUCGACGUAAUGAUUAAUAGGGAUAGUUGGG